AAGACCUUGCGCUUUUGGAGCGGCCGAUGCCUGAUUAGCUAGUUGGUGGGGUAAUGGCCUACCAAAGCUUCGAUCAGUAGCUGGUCUGAGAGGACGGCCAGCCACACUGGGACUGAGACACGGCCCAGACUCCUACGGGAGGCAGCAGUGGGGAAUUUUGGACAAUGGGCGCAAGCCUGAUCCAGCCAUGCCGCGUGAGUGAAGAAGGCCUUCGGGUUGUAAAGCUCUUUCAGCCGGGAAGAAAAGGUUGCGAUUAAUAAUCGCAAUUUAUGACGGUACCGGAAGAAGAAGCACCGGCUAACUACGUGCCAGCAGCCGCGGUAAUACGUAGGGUGCGAGCGUUAAUCGGAGUUACUGGGCGUAAAGGGUGCGCAGGCGGUUUUGUAAGUCAGAUGUGAAAUCCCCGGGCUUAACCUGGGAACU
rnacentral:rRNA from 1 species